rnacentral:lncRNA from 1 species
UGACUAAAAUGUAACCUGAGGCAAACAAAAGUGACUAUUUUUGUAGUUUACCCUAAUGUAAAACACUUGAAUUAUUACUUGUAAUUAUUGUAGGCUCCAUUUUGUGUACUCUUUCUUGGAUUCUUCCUGGACACAACAUCUAUCACUCAUCUAUCAUCCCCCAGUUUCCACACCUACACGCUUUCAUUUGGAAACAAUGGAAAUGGUGGGGAACCAGGCCAGAACAACGGCUUGCAGAAUCAGGUUAGUUACCAGAUGAGAAUAAUGGUCCCAACUACUGAUGUUGGAAGCUGACCAAGAUUCUAGUAUGAUGGAGUUGGGGAAUCCUAGUUCUCUAUGAACAGGGGUAUCUUUUUAGUUACCCUUAUGGUGUUGAAUGUUAGUCUUGUAUUUUGGAAUUGUCAAGGAGUAUAAUACAGAAUUCCAGCAGGACUUGUGUGCCUUCCUUGAGCCUCGCAUUAGUGGGUGAAGGGCUGAUGAAGUUAUUAAUAAAUUGGGUUUUUAUCCUUCUCAUAGAAUUAGAGGCCAGUGGGUUCAUUGGUUUGUUUGAAGGAGUCGGUUAAUGUUGAAGUCUUUUAACCAUACACAACUCGUUCAUGUUCCA